UACGGAGGGUGCAAGCGUUAUCCGGAAUCACUGGGCGUAAAGGGCGCGUAGGCGGUCUGUUAAGUCUGGCGUUAAAGCCUGGGGCUCAACCCCAGAUCAGCGUUGGAUACUGGCAGGCUAGACGGUUGGAGAGGCGAGUGGAAUUACCAGUGUAGCGGUGGAAUGCGUAGAUACUGGUAGGAACACCCAUUGCGAAGGCAGCUCGCUGGACAACACGUGACGCUGAGGCGCGAAAGUGUGGGGAGCAAACCGGAUUAGAUACCCCCGUA
rnacentral:rRNA from 1 species